rnacentral:snRNA from 13 species
AACGUUACCGUUUUUAUCGCGGGCCUUAAGUUGAAGACCCAGCGUUACAUUUUUUGGAGUCCCGCGGGAGCGGGAU